AGUGAACGCUGGCGGUAGGCCUAACACAUGCAAGUCGAACGGCAGCACAGUAAGAGCUUGCUCUUACGGGUGGCGAGUGGCGGACGGGUGAGGAAUACAUCGGAAUCUACUUUUUCGUGGGGGAUAACGUAGGGAAACUUACGCUAAUACCGCAUACGCCCUACGGGUGAAAGCAUGGGAUCUUCGGACCUUGCGCGAUUGAAUGAGCCGAUGUCGGAUUAGCUAGUUGGCGGGGUAAAGGCCCACCAAGGCGACGAUCCGUAGCUGGUCUGAGAGGAUGAUCAGCCACACUGGAACUGAGACACGGUCCAUACUCCUACGGGAGGCAGCAGUGGGGAAUAUUAGACAAUGGGCGCAAGCCUGAUCCAGCCAUACCGCGUGGGUGAAGAAGGCCUUCGGGUUGUAAAGCCCUUUUGUUGGGAAAGAAAAGCAGCAGGUUAAUACCCCGCUGUUCUGACGGUACCCAAAGAAUAAGCACCGGCUAACUUCGUG
rnacentral:rRNA from 1 species